UCAACUGAAGCUGAGUAUAUGGCCC
rnacentral:piRNA from 1 species